UUAUUAUUUACUUAAUUAUUUUAACCAUAUAUAUAGACCCAUGCAAGAGUCAUCCUGUAGAAGAUUGCUGAGCUGGAUUAAAUAGGAGGCUUGUCAUAUAAGUUGUCCUACAGCUGUUAUAACUUAUUUUGUCUCUCUUACUUUCACAUGCACAGCAUAUGUGCUAGACUUGUAUAUAAAGACACAGACUCUGUAUUCCCUUUUUUGGAGAAGGAUAGCAGUUACUAUUUUUCUCAAUUCUUUCUAAGCAAGUUUGUUCACAUCCUUGUGUGGCUAGCUAGUAACUUAUAGAGAUGGUUGUGCUUCCCUUUAAGCAUGUCUUGGUCCUUCUCCUUGUAUUCUCAGGUGGGUUAAUGGUGUACCAAACAGAAGCUGAAAUAUGUAAAAGUAUACUACCACCUCUUCCUGGAAGCAAAGGGUGUGAUUUGGGAAAUUGUCAGAAAUUGUGCAAAUUUCUGCAUAAAGGAUCUGCUGAAUGUGUUACUGUUGGCACAAAUACUCAAUGUAUGUGUGUCUGGGAAUGUCAUUAAUUAUUAUCAUUGAGCAAUUAAUCAAUAAAUAAAAAUUUUCAGUUUAAUUUGCACUUAA